rnacentral:rRNA from 1 species
UACGUAGGGUCCGAGCGUUGUCCGGAAUUAUUGGGCGUAAAGAGCUCGUAGGCGGUCUGUCGCGUCGGCUGUGAAAACCUGGGGCUCAACUCCAGGCCUGCAGUCGAUACGGGCAGACUAGAGUUCGGUAGGGGAGACUGGAAUUCCUGGUGUAGCGGUGAAAUGCGCAGAUAUCAGGAGGAACACCGGUGGCGAAGGCGGGUCUCUGGGCCGAAACUGACGCUGAGGAGCGAAAGCGUGGGGAGCAAACAGG